GACGUAGGGUGCGAGCGUUGUCCGGAAUCACUGGGCGUAAAGGGCGCGUAGGCGGCCGUGUAAGUCACUUGUGAAAUCCCGGGGCUCAACUCCGGGGCUGCAGGUGAGACUGCGUGGCUAGAGCACGGUAGAGGCGAGUGGAAUUCCCGGUGUAGCGGUGGAAUGCGUAGAUAUCGGGAAGAACACCGGUGGCGAAGGCGGCUCGCUGGGCCGUUGCUGACGCUGAGGCGCGAAAGCGUGGGGAGCAAACAGG
rnacentral:rRNA from 1 species